UACGUAGGGGGCAAGCGUUGUCCGGAUUUAUUGGGCGUAAAGAGCGUGUAGGCGGCCAUGCAGGUCAGCUGUGAAAACUCGAGGCUCAACCUCGAGACGUCGGUUGAAACCGUAUGGCUAGAGUCCGGAAGAGGAGAGUGGAAUUCCCGGUGUAGCGGUGAAAUGCGCAGAUAUCGGGAAGAACACCCGUGGCUAAGGCGGCUCUCUAGUACGGUACUGACGCUGAGACGCGAAAGCGUGGGGAGCGAACAGG
rnacentral:rRNA from 1 species